rnacentral:rRNA from 1 species
GAUGAACGCUGGCGGCGUGCCUAAUACAUGCAAGUCGAGCGAACGGACGCGAAGCUUGCUUCUCUGAUGUUAGCGGCGGACGGGUGAGUAACACGUGGAUAACCUACCUAUAAGACUGGGAUAACUUCGGGAAACCGGAGCUAAUACCGGAUAAUAUUUUGAACCGCAUGGUUCAAAAGUGAAAGACGGUCUUGCUGUCACUUAUAGAUGGAUCCACGCUGCAUUAGCUAGUUGGUAAGGUAACGGCUUACCAAGGCAACGAUGCAUAGCCGACCUGAGAGGGUGAUCGGCCACACUGGAACUGAGACACGGUCCAGACUCCUACGGGAGGCAGCAGUAGGGAAUCUUCCGCAAUGGGCGAAAGCCUGACGGAGCAAUGCCGCGUGAGUGAUGAAGGUCUUCGGAUCGUAAAACUCUGUUAUUAGGGAAGAACAUAUGUGUAAGUAACUGUGCACAUCUUGACGGUACCUAAUCAGAAAGCCACGGCUAACUACGUG